CAGCCGCCGCGGUAAUACCGGCGGCCCGAGUGGCGGUCACUAUUAUUGGGCUUAAAGCGUCCGUAGCCGGGUUGGGAAGUCCUCCGGGAAAUCUGGCCGCUUAACGGUCAGAAUGCCGGAGGAUACUCCCAGCCUAGGGACCGGGAGAGGCCGAGGGUAUUCCCGGAGUAGGGGUGAAAUCCUAUAAUCCCGGGAGGACCACCUGUGGCGAAGGCGCUCGGCUGGAACGCGUCCGACGGUGAGGGACGAAGGCCAGGGGAGCAAACCGGAUUAGAUACCCGGGUAGUCCUGGCGGUAAACGAUGCGGACUUUGUGUCGGACAAGCUAUGAGCUUGUCCGGUGCCGGAGGGAAACCGUUAAGUCCGCCGCCUGGGGAGUACGGCCGCAAGGCUGAAACUUAAAGGAAUUGGCGGG
rnacentral:rRNA from 1 species